AUUUUUACGACACUCCCAACGAUUGCCCCUCUCUCUCUCUCUUUCGUUCUUUCUUUUUUUUCUCUCUCACUCAGUCAAAAAUUGAAAUCCCCCAAAAUCACAUCCAGGCUGAGAAGAACAGAGAGCAUCAUCAACCAUUAUGAAACGGGCAGUGAAUGUUGCGAAAUCGAGCUCAAUCCGUCUGCGGAAUUUGCUAGAUCACACAACGUGUGUUUCUGAGGCUCAGACUACACUAUUUUAGAACUAUAUUGCUCUAAGCGUGCUUUCCCGCUACCCUAAGUUGGCAUAUUUGGAACCUUCUCCUCUGACAAUGAUUUCUAAAAAGCCUUCUUCAUUUCAAAGUGGAACCCCCUUAAAUUCCUGGCAGAAUUUAAUCUAUUCAGCUGUUCCCAUAAAAUUGGAAACCAUUGCAGACCACCAUAGCCAAAGGGACAUUGAGAAUCCUACUGACUGCUUCAUUUCAAGUGUGGUUGAUGGUAAGGCUUGAACCUCUAAUCCUACUCCAUCCUUGCAAUAUGGUAUUACAUAAUGAAAGUUUGAAAUAAUAGCUGGUAAACAUUCAAGAAUGGCAGCCACCGCCCACACUACUACAAACUCAAAAGUAAUAUGUGCACUUCCCAAAAGAGAACUUGAAAUUCUUACGCCACCCAUCAACAUCAACAUACUCCCAAAUGUGAAAGUAAUUCAUACUUUUUUUGCGGUGAAUAGUAUUUCGUACUUACAAGCCACAAUAGUGCACAAAUGGCCCCAAUAA